AUUCUCUCAUUAAAAGCAUUGGAGUGUGGAGUUGAAUUUUUUUGCGGUUUCUAGCUCAAAAACUGCGAAGCAUAAUGACUAUUUAAUUUGAAUAUGGGUUUUGGAAAGGCUUGAAGCACCACAGCAAACCGCAGCAAACGGACUACUUGGUAAUGACUAAUCAAAAAUUCCAACCUCAGGCUACCGGCGUUAGCAUUGCUGUUUGGCAAAAUCCCAAUUAUUCCAGGAAUCAGAAAAGUUUUAUAGGCGAAGCAUAACUCUGGCUUAGAGCAUGAUAAUGAAAACACCAUAAGCGAUUAAUCUCUCGUUUGGCUGGCACACCAGUUGGAAGGCAUAAGGAUCGUUGCACAUACUAUGAGUCAAACUAUCGUUGCUGCAGCUGUAAUCAAUGGAGAACGGAACGAAGUCGUCAUCCAAUGGAAUUCAUUGUGAACUGCGCUAAACGUCAGUUAUGCUGUUCAGUGUCCAUGAAGUGGUAGAGAGAAAAAUAUACUCAAAGGACAUCUUUUUCAGCGAAAGCCCUUAAGCUUAAUACAUUUGAUGGUCCACAGGAGUGGAAAUGGCAAGCGACGCAACACUAAAACAAACAUCUAAAUGUAUUAUGGCACUCUCAAGAAAUGUCACUUCAAAAAACAAACAGCCAUGGCACUACGACAAUAGCAAGUAGAAGUAACAACGACUAUCACAAUGACAAGUACUACAUACGGCAAAACAUUGAGCUUUUCUUUGGAGAACAAUUUCGCUAGAAAUUCUAUCCAAAGUUUAUUGUUUGCGCUUGGGAUCAUCAGCAUCAAAGCCAUGGACAGGGCGAGUGGCGGCCGCCUUCAUCAUAACAUGCAUGCUUACAACAUAGCACAGUAGUUAAAGGAAAACAAUUUGAAAAUGCUUCAGACCAACAAAUGUUCGAAAUAACGAGGAAUUUCCGUCAGGUUUGUGGUACUGUAGUCCGGUAUAUAUUGGAAACAAUGUAUUGGUGAUCGCUUGGCGUUUCCUCGGAGGCUCCAAAUGAAGCAUUAAGGGAAUCAAAUCAAUCAAGCCAUCCUUUUGAUCCGGACAUUCUAUGGGGCAAAUGAAAACUAAAAGUAACCAUGGCUUGUUUCAGCAAAUAUGUAUCCAAAUUGACUAGAAGAAUGGUAAAGACGAGUCGAAGGAUAAUAACUCAUCUUAAAAAUAAAUAAAUGUUUUUGAUAACUUAUUUAUACAUGCAAAUGAAAAAUGAAGUGAAAGUUCACUUUUUUUGGUUAAGCGAAUAUUAUACAUGAUUAAUAAUGUUUUUAGUUAAUAAUAGUUUUAAAAUUAAUAAUACUUUUAAACCACAACAUAUUCCAUACUAAAAAAAACUUUAGGUUAAGUAUUCAUAAAGUAUACAUAUUCUUGACCACUGUAAACAUCUAAGACUA
rnacentral:sRNA from 1 species